rnacentral:rRNA from 1 species
GUACACGCUGUGACUAGCAUAUCAAUAAGCGGAGGAAAAGAAACUAACAAGGAUUCCCCUAGUAACGGCGAGUGAAGCGGGAAGAGCUCAAAUUUGAAAUCUUAAAGGGUUUCCCUUUACGAAUUGUAGUUUAAAGAAGUGUUUUCUGUUGAGGUUUUGGUAAAAGUUCUUUGGAAUAGGACAUCAUAGAGGGUGAGAAUCCCGUAUUUGACCUUUACUUUCAACUUUGUGAUACACUUUCAAAGAGUCGGAUUGUUUGGGAAUGCAGUCCAAAAUGGGUGGUAAAUUUCAUCUAAAGCUAAAUAUUGGCGAGAGACCGAUAGCGAACAAGUACCGUGAGGGAAAGAUGAAAAGAACUUUGAAAAGAGAGUUAAACGGUACGUGAAAUUGUCAAAAGGGAAGCGUUUGACACCAGUGUUGUUUUUCUGAAAAUCAAUUAAAGAACUGUUUAUGCUAAGUUGUUUAGACUUUAUCAGCUAACUGUUUAGUUUUGAGCUUUUCUUUAAUGCACUUUUCAGUUAACAAGUCAACAUCAAUUUCUUUUGCUGUAAAAAAGCUUGAGGAAGGUGGCUUGAGAUUCGUCUUAAGUGUUUAUAGCCUCUUGCCUAUGCAGUCGGAGAGAUUGAGGUCUGCAGCGUAGAUCCUUCGGGGCUAAAUGCAUUUGUGCUAAGUUAUAGCAUUUCAUAGACAACUUGUUGACUAUGAUUUGUCUUGUAGCUUACUCGCUUAUGUUAUUUUACCUACGCUAGGAUGUUGACAGCAGUAUAGACUGU